UCCCUGAUGGUCUGGUAGUUAGGAUUCCUGGCUCUCACCCAGGCAGCCCGGUUUCGACUCCCGGCCAGUGAG
rnacentral:tRNA from 1 species